UACGUAGGGUGCAGGCGUUAAUCGGAAUUACUGGGCGUAAAGCGUGCGCAGGCGGUUUGCUAAGAGAGAUGUGAAAUCCCCGGGCUUAACCUGGGAACUGCGUUUCUAACUGGCAGGCUUGAGUGUGGCAGAGGGGGGUGGAAUUCCACGUGUAGCAGUGAAGUGCGUAGAGAUGUGGAGGAAUACCGAUGGCGAAGGCAGCCCCCUGGGCCAAUACUGACGCUCAUGCACGAAAGCGUGGGGAGCAAACAGG
rnacentral:rRNA from 1 species